UACGUAGGGUGCAGGCGUUAAUCGGAAUUACUGGGCGUAAAGCGUGCGCAGGCGGUUUGCUAAGAGAGAUGUGAAAUCCCCGGGCUUAACCUGGGAACUGCGUUUCUAACUGGCAGGCUUGAGUGUGGCAGAGGGGGGUGGAAUUCCACGUGUAGCAGUGAAAUGCGUAGAGAUGUGGAGGAACACCGAUGGGCGAAGGCAGCCCCCUGGGCUAACACUGACGCCUCA
rnacentral:rRNA from 1 species